GCCCCUGUAGUGAAAUGGAUAUCAUACUUGGCUUCGGACCAAGAGUUCCGGGUUCGAAUCCUGGCGGGGGCA
rfam:Parcubacteria bacterium GW2011_GWC2_42_12 TT95_C0020, whole genome shotgun sequence.